AUUGAACGCUGGCGGCAGGCCUAACACAUGCAAGUCGAGCGGAGCGGCGGACGGGUGAGUAAUGCCUAGGAAUCUGCCUGGUAGUGGGGGAUAACGUCCGGAAACGGGCGCUAAUACCGCAUACUAUCAGAUGAGCCUAGGUCGGAUUAGCUAGUUGGUGGGGUAAAGGCCUACCAAGGCGACGAUCCGUAACUGGUCUGAGAGGAUGAUCAGGCACACGGGAACGGAGACACGGUCCAGACUCCUACGGGAGGCAGCAGUGGGGAAUAUUGGGCAAUGGGCGAAAGCCUGAUCCAGCCAUGCCGCGUGUGUGAAGAAGGUCUUCGGGUUGUAAAGUACUUGUGUCAGGGAAGCGGUAUCUACAGAAUAAGCAACGGCUAACUACGUGCCAGCAGCCGCGGUAAUAC
rnacentral:rRNA from 1 species